AUGGAAGCCGGGUGUACCUAAAGUCGGUAACCGCAAGGAGCCGCCUAGGGUAAACUGGUGACUGGGGCU
rnacentral:rRNA from 1 species